UACGAAGGGGGCUAGCGUUGCUCGGAAUGACUGGGCGUAAAGGGUGCGUAGGCGGCGCGGUAAGUCGGGUGUGAAAUCUCGGAGCUUAACUCCGAAACUGCAUUCGAUACUGCCGUGCUUGAGGACUGGAGAGGAGACUGGAAUUUACGGUGUAGCGGUGAAAUGCGUAGAUAUCGUAAGGAAGACCAGUGGCGAAGGCGGGUCUCUGGACAGUUCCUGACGCUGAGGAGCGAAAGCGUGGGGAGCGAACAGG
rnacentral:rRNA from 1 species